rnacentral:misc_RNA from 1 species
UCGCUUCUCGGCUAGUGCA